rnacentral:rRNA from 1 species
GACGAACGCUGGCGGCGUGCUUAACACAUGCAAGUCGAACGGAAAGGCCCAGCUUUUGUGGGGUGCUCGAGUGGCGAACGGGUGAGUAACACGUGAGUAACCUGCCCUUGACUUUGGGAUAACUUCAGGAAACUGGGGCUAAUACCGGAUAGGAGCUCCUGCUGCAUGGUGGGGGUUGGAAAGUUUCGGCGGUUGGGGAUGGACUCGCGGCUUAUCAGCUUGUUGGUGGGGUAGUGGCUUACCAAGGCUUUGACGGGUAGCCGGCCUGAGAGGGUGAACGGCCACAUUGGGACUAAGAUACGGCCCAGACUGCUACGGGGGGCAGCAGUGGGGAGUAUUGCACAAUGGGCGGAAGCGUGAUGCAGAAACGCCGCGUGCGGGAUGACGGCCUUCGGGCUGUAAACCGCUUUAGCCUGUGACGAAGCGUGAGUGACGGUAAUGGGUAAAGAAGCACCGGCUAACUACGUG